rnacentral:tRNA from 1 species
UAGCUCAGAGGUUAAAGCACGUGCCUGGAAUGCAGGAGACCCAGGUUCGAUCCCUGG